GGGCCGCUAGCUCAAUUGGCAGAGCAAGUGACUCUUAAUCACUUGGUUACAGGUUCGAGUCCUGUGCGGCUCACCA
rnacentral:tRNA from 1 species